UGGAAAGCUUUUGUGGUUUUGGAUGGACUCGCGGCCUAUCAGCUUGUUGGUGGGGUAAUGGCCUACCAAGGCGACGACGGGUAGCCGGCCUGAGAGGGUGACCGGCCACACUGGGACUGAGACACGGCCCAGACUCCUACGGGAGGCAGCAGUGGGGAAUAUUGCACAAUGGGCGGAAGCCUGAUGCAGCGACGCCGCGUGAGGGAUGACGGCCUUCGGGUUGUAAACCUCUUUCAGUAGGGAAGAAGCGUAAGUGACGGUACCUGCAGAAGAAGCGCCGGCUAACUACGUGCCAGCAGCCGCGGUAAUACGUAGGGCGCAAGCGUUAUCCGGAAUUAUUGGGCGUAAAGAGCUCGUAGGCGGUUUGUCGCGUCUGCCGUGAAAGUCCGGGGCUCAACUCCGGAUCUGCGGUGGGUACGGGCAGACUAGAGUGAUGUAGGGGAGACUGGAAUUCCUGGUGUAGCGGUGAAAUGCGCAGAUAUCAGGAGGAACACCGAUGGCGAAGGCAGGUCUCUGGGCAUUAACUGACGCUGAGGAGCGAAAGCAUGGGGAGCGAACAGGAUUAGAUACCCUGGUAGUCCAUGCCGUAAACGUUGGGCACUAGGUGUGGGGGACAUUCCACGUUUUCCGCGCCGUAGCUAACGCAUUAAGUGCCCCGCCUGGGGAGUACGGCCGCAAGGCUAAAACUCAAAGGAAUUGACGGGGGCCCGCACAAGCGGCGGAGCAUGCGGAUUAAUUCGAUGCAACGCGAAGAACCUUACCAAGGCUUGACAUGAACCGGAAAGGCCUGGAAACAGGUCCCCCACUUGUGGUCGGUUUACAGGUGGUGCAUGGUUGUCGUCAGCUCGUGUCGUGAGAUGUUGGGUUAAGUCCCGCAACGAGCGCAACCCUCGUUCUAUGUUGCCAGCACGUGAUGGUGGGGACUCAUAGGAGACUGCCGGGGUCAACUCGGAGGAAGGUGGGGACGACGUCAAAUCAUCAUGCCCCUUAUGUCUUGGGCUUCACGCAUGCUACAAUGGCCGGUACAAAGGGUUGCGAUACUGUGAGGUGGAGCUAAUCCCAAAAAGCCGGUCUCAGUUCGGAUUGGGGUCUGCAACUCGACCCCAUGAAGUCGGAGUCGCUAGUAAUCGCAGAUCAGCAACGCUGCGGUGAAUACGUUCCCGGGCCUUGUACACACCGCCCGUCAAGUCACGAAAGUUGGUAACACCCGAAGCCGGUGGCCUAACCCCUUGUGGGAGGGAGCUGUCGAAGGUGGGACUGGCG
rnacentral:rRNA from 1 species